ACGAACGUUGGCGGCGUGCUUCAUACAUGCCAGUCACCUGCAGCAGUGGUAGCAAUAUCGCUGUGGAGGUGGCGCACGGGUGAGUAACACGUAGGUAAUCUGCCUUCAGGUCUGGCAUAACUCCGGGAAACCGGGGCUAAUAGCAGAUGAUGCAGCGGCUCGACAUCGAGACAGUUGUUAAAGCUAUGGCGCCUGCAGAUGAGCCUGCGUCUGAUUAGCUAGUUGGCGGGGUAACGGCCCACCAAGGCAACGAUCAGUAGCUGGUCUGAGAGGAUGAUCAGCCACACUGGAACUGAGACACGGUCCAGACUCCUACGGGAGGCAGCAGUAAGGAAUAUUGCGCAAUGGGAGGAAUCCUGAAGCAGCAACGCCGCGGGAGGGACGAAGGGCUUUGGCUUGUAAACCUCUGUAGUGAGAGAAAAAAAUCCCAAUCUUUGGGACAUGAUGGUAUCUCAAAAGUAAGCCCCGGCUAACUACGUG
rnacentral:rRNA from 1 species